GGCACCGAAAGCCGUAGACCGAAAUCAAGGCAACCGCUCCGCACACCUUUCCUUCAUGAGAGUUACAGAGACUACCAAAAUCCUCCACACCUGAAAAAGUACCAGGAGAUCACUGUGAACUGUGCGUGUCACUUUGACAAGCCCUUUUGAACCCAGGGGUCCCCAGACCACCUCUGCCAAGGCAGGACAGCCACCGCCUGUAGGUGAGGCCCGGCUGCCGCCCCCUGUGCUCAUGAGGAUUAACGAACAGCAAGAAAGCAAAUUGCUACAGUUAAAGGAAGAAAACAGCAGGACUAACACGUUUCAGUCGGGGUACUACGCUGAGACUCAGCAAUCUUUAUUCUCUUUGUGAGCAGCAGUUCUUUAAGAGCUUUACACCCAAUAAAAUUUAAACUUUUAUAUAUUUUUUUUUCCUUCGUUUAUUGCACCGAGGGUUUUUAUUGCAGACACAUAGCAAGCCACCCAUAUGGAAUUUCACAAAGUGGCAACCACAUUCCAACCUGCCCAAACAGAGCACCCGGUCAGUGG